CAUUUGCUAGUCAUCUCAGGCCGAUAUCCUUGAUAUCCUUGUCUGUGGGGCCGUGGCCAGGAAGUCUUCCCGGAGAGCCUGGUCCAGACCAGGCCCAGGCCAGCGCCAGCGCUCUCCCCGGCCCUGCGAGUGCGAGUCCCGCCCGGGCUCACCGUGGGCCGCCGCUGCAGCCGCGGUUCUGAAGCCAAAGGUCGCAGCCCAAGUUCAGCGCCAGGGUGUGCGGGGCAAGGGGGCACCCCAGGACCCUGCGUGCGCUGCCCACCGCGGAACCUGAGCCGCCGGGAUGGAGCGGGAGAGUGGGGGUGGGCGAACCCCCCUUUCGGCUUUCCCACGCUCAAGCCUAAUGCAUUCAGUUUAUUUUUCUUGUAUAAAAACACGUGGUGGCCAACGCUGGAGCCCGGGUCCUCUGCAUGGAGACGCUCCCAUGGAGCUUAACUAGAAGUGAUAACACUUUAUUUGAGGCAUCAAGCAAUAUACUGAAAGAGGUGAGUCAUGCGCAAGUAAUGUCCUUAUUUCCAUAAUUGUACAUUUGAU